CAGUGGCUGUCCAGGCCUUUCAGAGACUCUGACACGCCGGCAGCACAAUGAUGAUGUCACUGACUCUACUGCUGACCACCCUGGGGCUCCUUGUUCAGGAUUCAUCAGGAGAAAUCAUCCUGACUCAGUCUCCUGGAUCUCAGUCUGUUGUUCCAGGACAGACUGUCUCCAUCAGAUGUAAAACCAGUACAAGUGUUGGUACCUGCCUUAACUGGUAUCUUCAAAAACAAGGAGAAUCUCCCAAACUUUUGAUUUAUUAUGCUACAAAUCUUCAGUCUGGGAUUUCAGAUCGUUUCAGUGGAAGUGGAUCUGGAACUGACUUCACUCUGACCAUCAGUGGAGUUCAGACUGAAGAUGCAGGAGAUUAUUACUGUCAGCAGUGUAACAGCUGGCCGUUCACACAGUGAUACACCGUCGUACAAAAACCUCCUCAGCUAAAGAGGAACUGAUCUGACUCAACAGCUGCACAGAAAUUUUAACACUAGACGUUUGAUUAACAUACUGUUUAUAUACAUACAACACAUUUAGCACAUUUCUGUUAAAUAUAGUUUAUGGAGUGUUUUGAGAGUAAAUAGAAUUUUCCUCAAAGUCAGAGCCAAAACUAUGUAAUCUCAGCUGUUAUAGCAAUAUAGUCUUAUUAAUAUUAAAACAAAUAAUUAACAAAUGUAGGUACAAAUAUUGAAUGAAUGCUACAUUUUGAAAUGUGAAAAGGCCUCAAUAAUCAAGCCCAGAAAUGAAUAACAACAACAACUACUUAUAGCUCUUAACAAAAAAGUGUAUUCAUACUAUUAAGAAUUGUGUCAUAGUUUUGUGACUGAACUAAAAGAAAAAUGUUAUGUCAGUAAUUGGAUGAUAUCGACAAAUUAUGAGAUACAACACAAUUCAAUACAGAGUACUUCACGGAGCAUUAUUUCUUUCUAAAAUCAUCAACUUAAAAUAUAUAAUUCUAGAGAUCUGAUCCUUACACAAAUUCAAUCUUUUUGGAUUAAAUAUAUCAACUGUUGUGAUGAUAGACAACCUCAUAUUACAACAGUUAUACUUUUAUACUAUACAUGGACACAAAUUAUUUGAAGAAAAGGUCUUUCAUAUUUUAACAUUAUAUCAUUUUUACUGAAGGAAGGGAACAAUGACCAUGUGUUAAUGCUGCAAACAGACAGGAGGAGACAGAGACUGUGCUAAUAUCUCUUUUGUGUCAAGUCCUUGAUUAAAAUUGUACUGUUUCAUUAAACAUUAUUAUAUGUAAAAACUCAAAUGAAAUGCGUAUCACAUUAUGCAGAUAAUACCCUGCUUUUUAUUACCAAUCCUGAAAAUGAUCUGUCCUAUUUGACAACAAUUGAACAUAUCUAAUAUAUCUUCUUUAAAGGUAAACUGAACGUGUUUUUCAGUCAUAUUCAUGUAUGAAAUUAAAUUAUUCCACAUAAUCCAAUAAUAUAAAUUG